rnacentral:rRNA from 1 species
UACGGAGGAUGCGAGCGUUAUCCGGAUUUAUUGGGUUUAAAGGGUGCGUAGGCGGUCCGUUAAGUCAGCGGUAAGAUUGCGGGGCUCAACCCCGUCGAGCCGUUGAAACUGGCAGACUUGAGUUGGCGAGAAGUACGCGGAAUGCGCGGUGUAGCGGUGAAAUGCAUAGAUAUCGCGCAGAACUCCGAUUGCGAAGGCAGCGUACCGGCGCCAGACUGACGCUGAGGCACGAAAGCGUGGGGAUCGAACAGG